UAAUACAGAGGGUGCGAGCGUUAAUCGGAGUUACUGGGCGUAAAGGGCGCGUAGGCGGUUUAGCAAGUGUGAUGUGAAAGCCCUGGGCUUAACCUGGGAAGUGCAUCGCAAACGACUAGACUGGAGUACAAGAGAGGGUGGCGGAAUUUCCGGUGUAGCGGUGAAAUGCGUAGAGAUCGGAAGGAACGUCAAUGGCGAAGGCAGCCACCUGGCUUGAUACUGACGCUGAGGCGCGAAAGCGUGGGUAGCGAACAGGAUUAGAUACCCUGGUAGUCCACGCUGUAAACGAUGAGGACUAGAUGUUGGUAGGGGAACCUAUCAGUAUCGAAGCAAACGCGAUAAGUCUUCCGCCUGGGAAGUACGGCCGCAAGGUUG
rnacentral:rRNA from 1 species